GAAUUCACUAGUGAUUUCUGGUUGAUCCUGCCAGACCCGACUGCUAUCAGAGUGGGACUAAGCCAUGCGAGUCAACGUAGCAAUGCGUGGCGAACGGCUCAGUAACACGUAGUCAACAUGCCCAGGGGACGUGGAUAACCUCGGGAAACUGAGAUUAAACCGCGAUAGGUCAAGAUUUCUGGAAUGGAUCGUGUCUUAAAUCUACAUGGCCCCUGGAUUGGACUGCGGCCGAUCAGGCUGUUGGUGAGGUAAUGGCCCACCAAACCUAUAACCGGUACGGGCUCUGAGGGGAGAAGCCCGGAGAUGGGCACUGAGACAAGGGCCCAGGCCCUAUGGGGCGCAGCAGGCGCGAAACCUCUGCAAUGGGCGAAAGCCUGACAGGGUUACUCUGAGUGAUUUCCGCUAAGGAGAUCUUUUGGCAGCUCUAAAAAUGGUGCAGAAUAAGGGGUGGGCAAGUCUGGUGUCAGCCGCCGCGGUAAUACCAGCACCCCGAGUGGUCGGGACGAUUAUUGGGCCUAAAGCAUCCGUAGCCGGUUGUGCAAGUCCUCCGUUAAAUCCAGCCGCUCAACGGAUGGGCUGCGGAGGAUACUACAGGACUAGGAGGCGGGAGAGGCAAGCGGUACUUAGUGGGUAGGGGUAAAAUCCUUUGAUCCAUUAAAGACCACCAGUGGCGAAGGCGGCUUGCCAGAACGCGCUCGACGGUGAGGGAUGAAAGCUGGGGGAGCAAACCGGAUUAGAUACCCGGGUAGUCCCAGCUGUAAACGAUGCAGACUCGGUGAUGGGCUAGCCUCGUGUCAGCCCAGUGCCGCAGGGAAGCCGUUAAGUCUGCCGCCUGGGGAGUACGGUCGCAAGACUGAAACUUAAAGGAAUUGGCGGGGGAGCACCGCAAGGGGUGAAGCCUGCGGUUCAAUUGGAUUCAACGCCGGAAAUCGAAUUCCCGCGGCC
rnacentral:rRNA from 1 species